rnacentral:rRNA from 1 species
GUGUCAGCCGCCGCGGUAAGACGUAGGGGGCGAGCGUUGUCCGGAAUUACUGGGCGUAAAGAGCACGUAGGCGGGAACUUAAGUCAGAUGUGAAAGACCGGGGCUCAACUCCGGGGUUGCAUUUGAAACUAAGUUUCUUGAGGGCAGGAGAGGAAAGUGGAAUUCCUGGUGUAGCGGUGAAAUGCGUAGAAAUCAGGAGGAAUACCAGUGGCGAAGGCGGCUUUCUGGACUGACCCUGACGCUGAGGUGCGAAAGCGUGGGUAGCAAACAGGAUUAGAUACCCUGGUAGUCCACGCUGUAAACGAUGGAUACUAGGUGUGGGAGGUAUCGACCCCUUCCGUGCCGGAGCUAACGCAAUAAGUAUCCCGCCUGGGGAGUACGGUCGCAAGGCUGAAACUCAAAUGAAUUGGCGG